rnacentral:tRNA from 1 species
AAAAUCCGUCAACUUUACAAAUCG